rnacentral:rRNA from 1 species
CUCCUACGGGAGGCAGCAGUGGGGAAUAUUGCGCAAUGGGGGCAACCCUGACGCAGCAACGCCGCGUGCAGGAAGAAGGUCUUCGGAUUGUAAACUGUUGUCGCAAGGGAAGAAGACAGUGACGGUACCUUGUGAGAAAGUCACGGCUAACUACGUGCCAGCAGCCGCGGUAAUACGUAGGUGACAAGCGUUGUCCGGAUUUACUGGGUGUAAAGGGCGCGUAGGCGGACUGUCAAGUCAGUCGUGAAAUACCGGGGCUUAACCCCGGGGCUGCGAUUGAAACUGACAGCCUUGAGUAUCGGAGAGGAAAGCGGAAUUCCUAGUGUAGCGGUGAAAUGCGUAGAUAUUAGGAGGAACACCAGUGGCGAAGGCGGCUUUCUGGACGACAACUGACGCUGAGGCGCGAAAGUGUGGGGAGCAAACAGGAUUAGAUACCCUGGUAGUCCACACCGUAAACGAUGGAUACUAGGUGUAGGAGGUAUCGACCCCUUCUGUGCCGCAGUUAACACAAUAAGUAUCCCACCUGGGGAGUACGACCGCAAGGUUGAAACUCAAAGGAAUUGACGGGGGCCCGCACAAGCAGUGGAGUAUGUGGUUUAAUUCGAAGCAACGCGAAGAACCUUACCUGGGCUUGACAUCCCUGGAAUCGAGUAGAGAUACUUGAGUGCCUUCGGGAAUCAGGUGACAGGUGGUGCAUGGUUGUCGUCAGCUCGUGUCGUGAGAUGUUGGGUUAAGUCCCGCAACGAGCGCAACCCCUAUUGUCAGUUGCCAUCAUUAAGUUGGGCACUCUGGCGAGACUGCCGGUGACAAAUCGGAGGAAGGUGGGGACGACGUCAAAUCAUCAUGCCCCUUAUGCCCAGGGCUACACACGUACUACAAUGGCCGAUAACAAAGUGCAGCGAAACCGUGAGGUGGAGCGAAUCACAAAACUCGGUCUCAGUUCAGAUUGCAGGCUGCAACUCGCCUGCAUGAAGUUGGAAUUGCUAGUAAUCGCGGAUCAGAAUGCCGCGGUGAAUACGUUCCCGGGCCUUGUACACACCGCA